rnacentral:rRNA from 1 species
UACGGAGGGGGCUAGCGUUGUUCGGAAUUACUGGGCGUAAAGCGCACGUAGGCGGCUUUGUAAGUUAGAGGUGAAAGCCCAGGGCUUAACCCUGGAAUUGCCUUUAAGACUGCAUCGCUAGAAUCGUGGAGAGGUGAGCGGAAUUCCGAGUGUAGAGGUGAAAUUCGUAGAUAUUCGGAAGAACACCAGUGGCGAAGGCGACUCACUGGACACGUAUUGACGCUGAGGUGCGAAAGCGUGGGGAGCAAACAGG